rnacentral:rRNA from 1 species
GCAGUGGGGAAUAUUGCACAAUGGGCGCAAGCCUGAUGCAGCGACGCCGCGUGAGGGAUGACGGCCUUCGGGUUGUAAACCUCUUUCAGUAGGGAAGAAGCGAAAGUGACGGUACCUGCAGAAGAAGCGCCGGCUAACUACGUGCCAGCAGCCGCGGUAAUACGUAGGGCGCAAGCGUUAUCCGGAAUUAUUGGGCGUAAAGAGCUCGUAGGCGGUUUGUCGCGUCUGCCGUGAAAGUCCGGGGCUCAACUCCGGAUCUGCGGUGGGUACGGGCAGACUAGAGUGAUGUAGGGGAGACUGGAAUUCCUGGUGUAGCGGUGAAAUGCGCAGAUAUCAGGAGGAACACCGAUGGCGAAGGCAGGUCUCUGGGCAUUAACUGACGCUGAGGAGCGAAAGCAUGGGGAGCGAACAGGAUUAGAUACCCUGGUAGUCCAUGCCGUAAACGUUGGGCACUAGGUGUGGGGGACAUUCCACGUUUUCCGCGCCGUAGCUAACGCAUUAAGUGCCCCGCCUGGGGAGUACGGCCGCAAGGCUAAAACUCAAAGGAAUUGACGGGGGCCUGCACAAGCGGCGGAGCAUGCGGAUUAAUUCGAUGCAACGCGAAGAACCUUACCAAGGCUUGACAUGGGCCGGACCGGGCUGGAAACAGUCCUUCCCCUUUGGGGCCGGUUCACAGGUGGUGCAUGGUUGUCGUCGGCUCGUGUCGUGAGAUGUUGGGUUAAGUCCCGCAACGAGCGCAACCCUCGUUCCAUGUUGCCAGCGCGUAAUGGCGGGGACUCAUGGGAGACUGCCGGGGUCAACUCGGAGGAAGGUGGGGACGACGUCAAAUCAUCAUGCCCCUUAUGUCUUGGGCUUCACGCAUGCUACAAUGGCCGGUACAAAGGGUUGCGAUACUGUGAGGUGGAACUAAUCCCAAAAAGCCGGUCUCAGUUCGGAUUGGGGUCUGCAACUCGACCCCAUGAAGUCGGAGUCGCUAGUAAUCGCAGAUCAGCAACGCUGCGGUGAAUACGUUCCCGGGCCUUGUACAC